rnacentral:tRNA from 1 species
GGGGUUGUGGCUCAGUGGUAGAGCACUCACCUAGCAUGUGCAAGGCCCUGGGUUCGAUCCUCAGCACCA